UACGUAAGGUGCAAGCGUUAAUCGGAAUUACUGGGCGUAAAGCGUGCGCAGGCGGUUGUGCAAGACCGAUGUGAAAUCCCCGGGCUUAACCUGGGAACUGCAUUGGUGACUGGCAGGCUUUGAGUGUGGCAGAGGGAGGUAGAAUUCCACGUGUAGCAGUGAAAUGCGUAGAGAUGUGGAGGAAUACCGAUGGCGAAGGCAGCCUCCUGGGCCAACACUGACGCUCAUGCACGAAAGCGUGGGGAGCAAACAGG
rnacentral:rRNA from 1 species